UGAACGCUGGCGGCGUGCUUAACACAUGCAAGUCGAACGAAGAUGCCGGAGUGCUUGCACUUUGGCAGACUGAGUGGCGGACGGGUGAGUAACGCGUGAGGAACCUGCCUUGAAGAGGGGGACAACAGUUGGAAACGACUGCUAAUACCGCAUGAAGCAUAGGGGUCGCAUGAUUCUUAUGCCAAAGAUUUAUCGCUUCAAGAUGGCCUCGCGUCUGAUUAGCUAGUUGGCGGGGUAACGGCCCACCAAGGCGACGAUCAGUAGCCGACCUGAGAGGGUGACCGGCCACAUUGGGACUGAGACACGGCCCAGACUCCUACGGGAGGCAGCAGUGGGGAAUAUUGCACAAUGGAGGAAACUCUGAUGCAGCGACGCCGCGUGAGUGAAGAAGUAAUUCGUUAUGUAAAGCUCUAUCAGCAGGGAAGAUAGUGACGGUACCUGACUAAGAAGCUCCGGCUAAAUACGUG
rnacentral:rRNA from 1 species